AUCUUGUAUUCUGUGCUCUCCGGAGGAAAAGGAGCCCGAAGAUCCCUGGAUCUAUUUUCAGUCAGAUGCCAGUUUCGAAGAUGCAAUAGGAGUGGCAUGGAUUUAGGGACUCCAAGGGACCUCAAUUUGCACCCAUGGUUAGCUGUCAGUAGGAAGCUGAAGAUUGAAUGCUGGAGGGUCUGCCUAGGCUCUGACUGUGUAGCACGUGGCCGCUGUUGAGGUUCAGAGGUUCAGUUCGUUAUCAUCAAGGCGGGGACAUGGCAGCAUCCAAGCAAGCAUGGUGCAGGCGGAGCUGAGAGUUCUACAUCUGAAGGCUGCUAGUGGAAGACUGUGGAUUCCAGGCAGCUAGGAUGAGGGUCUUAAAGUCUACUACACCCAUGAGCUUUGAGAAUGAAGCUGGAACUCCUGUGGCGCCUGAGAGCAAAGAUAGGAGCCUACGGAAGGAAGCCCUGCUGGGACAAAAAGCAACAAACAGGAAGCCUAUUUGCAUGGGAGCCUGGUUGGUGCAAGCAUCUCACCAUCCUCGGGGCGGCUUCUCAUGACAAUGGCGGCAAAUAGACCCUUACACCGAAGCUGUGAACUGAACAAGAACAGAUUACUCAAUUCCUUCCCCCACGCAGAGUGACACAGAUGGAUUGAUUAAAAUCACAGGCUCCCCUUACUUUGGUUUAGGAGUCCUUAUCCACUGGGAACAUCAGCUACCUGUUGGCAGGUGGUGACACUUCAGAGAAGAAACGUC
rnacentral:lncRNA from 1 species